AUUGAACGCUGGCGGCAUGCUUUACACAUGCAAGUCGAACGGUAACAGGCCGCAAGGUGCUGACGAGUGGCGAACGGGUGAGUAAUGCAUCGGAACGUGCCCAGUCGUGGGGGAUAACGCAGCGAAAGCUGCGCUAAUACCGCAUACGAUCUAUGGAUGAAAGCGGGGGACCGUAAGGCCUCGCGCGAUUGGAGCGGCCGAUGUCAGAUUAGGUAGUUGGUGAGGUAAAGGCUCACCAAGCCAACGAUCUGUAGCUGGUCUGAGAGGACGACCAGCCACACUGGGACUGAGACACGGCCCAGACUCCUACGGGAGGAAGCAGUGGGGAAUUUUGGACAAUGGGCGCAAGCCUGAUCCAGCAAUGCCGCGUGCAGGAAGAAGGCCUUCGGGUUGUAAACUGCUUUUGUACGGAACGAAACGGUCCGGGUUAAUACCCUGGGCUAAUGACGGUACCGUAAGAAUAAGCACCGGCUAACUACGUGCCAGCCGCCGCAGUAA
rnacentral:rRNA from 1 species